GAUGAACGCUGACAGAAUGCUUAACACAUGCAAGUCAACUUGAACUUCGGUUUGGGUGGCGGCCGGGUGAGUAACGCGUAAAGAACUUGCCUCACAGCUAGGGACAACAUUUGGAAACGAAUGCUAAUACCUGAUAUUAUGAUUUUAGGGCAUCCUAGAAUUAUGAAAGCUAUAUGCGCUGUGAGAGAGCUUUGCGUCCCAUUAGCUAGUUGGAGAGGUAACGGCUCACCAAGGCGAUGAUGGGUAGCCGGCCUGAGAGGGUGAACGGCCACAAGGGGACUGAGACACGGCCCUUACUCCUACGGGAGGCAACAGUGGGGAAUAUUGGACAAUGGACCAAGAGUCUGAUCCAGCAAUUCUGUGUGCACGAUGAAGUUUUUCGGAAUGUAAAGUGCUUUCAGUUGGGAAGAAAAAAAUGACGGUACCAACAGAAGAAGUGACGGCUAAAUACGUG
rnacentral:rRNA from 1 species